ensembl:lncRNA uncharacterized LOC114784391
CUCCCUUUCACGACGCAGCGCCACACGCAGCUGGCGUCCGCGUCGGAACGUUGUGGUUGUCGGUAAUUCAUGCGGGCGACGCGUUCAAGAUGACGAGGCUGCAGCGCCUGGGCGCGCUGCUCACCCGACGCCUGACGCUGGCCGCGCAGGAGAUCUACCGGGACGUGGAGGAGGUCAUCCUGCACGUCCAGGAGGAGUCCAGCAGGACGAAGCAAGAAAACAGGCGCCUGCGGGAGAGGCUGCGAGCGCUCGGCAUCACGGAUUUGGACGAGUCUGACACGGACGCAUCUGCCACGGAGGAAAUAUGGCCAGUGGGCAAUGAGGAUCACCAGAACAACAGCUGCUUGAUGCCGAGUCUGCAGGAGGAUGCGAAGGCCCUUCACGAACAAAACCAGGGCGAUGCAAGAGUAUGUGGCCCACAAUGCACCUCAACACAAAACAAAAACAAGGCAUCUCCAGGGCGGCCGCCCGCUUCUCUGCAGGUCACAGAGAUUGCAUCGGUUCCUCUAGUACAGCUCAGAUCACCAUCACAUGGUGCAGAAGAUGGAGAGCCGGGACCUUCAGCUCUGUCCACACCUAUGGGCAAGCAAGGUGACAGCGUGAACGGUGACUCUGCCUGCGAGGGCUGUUGCAGUAGUGAUGAUAACAACAACAACAACGGUGAUUCUGAUGAUCCAGGGAGCCGCAGCAGUAAUGAUAAGAGGACAGACCUUUCAUCACAUCCAAGCCCUUACAGGCUUCGAAAACGGAAGCAGGAUCACAAUGGUUUGGACGAUGAACGGGCAGCUAAAGAGAAGAACUCAGAGAUGCUGCAGUGUCGGAAACAAGCUAUGACCGCCGCUGAAGAAGACGUGGAAUCGGAUGAUGAGGGAAGCGUGUUGUGUAAAAAGCAAUGUAGUGAAAUCUCUGCUUGUGGCUCUUUUUUGGGCAAAUCCUUUGAAGAGCCGCAACUUGGGCCCUCUGCCGGAGAGCCCAAGCCGGACAGUUGCUGCGUGUCCGUUCUGGGGGAGAGCAGGUGGUGCACCAAGAAAAAUUACUGCCUGUUCUGCAGGAAGCAAGUUUUGAAGAUAUCCAGGCAUCUGGAAUGCAUGCACCGCGAGGAGGAAGAAGUUGCGAAGGCCUUGAGCUUUCCCAAAAAUUCAGAGGAAAGAAGAAUCCUGUGGGGCGUCCUGCGGAAGAAAGGGAACCAUGUGUACAAUGAGAUGGUGGAGAACGUGAGUAGUUACCUCCUUCCUCCAAGGCCGAAGGCUUCCGCCAACGGCAUCCCACUCUUGACCUUCGUCGAGGACGUUAAGAAGCUGCACGUUCACCUGAAGGACAAGCAGGCCGAGUAUGACCACAUGCUGCUCUCUGACUUCUCCUCGGAGACCUGGGGCAACCUCGCCAAGGUCACCCUGGCCCAGCUGACCAUGUUCAACACGAGGAGCUCGGAAGAGCUGUCCCAAAUGAGCCUCAGCGCGUUCAUCUCCAGAGACAUCUCGGUCGUGCCCAGCGACGACGCCGAGAUCACGGAGUUCGAGCAGGAGCUCUGCAAGUACUCGGCCAGGAUCGAAAUCUCGGCAGGCGAGGGCCGGAAGAUCUCGCUCCUGGUCCCGCCGUCGGUACUGAAGAGCAUCGAGAGCCUGGUGGUGAAACGGAUGCUGUGCGGAAUACGAUACGACAACAAGCACCUGUUUGCCCAGCCGAGGGGGACGCAUUACUUUAAAGGCGCCGACUGCGUGGAGGAUUUUGCGAAGGACUGCGGCGUCCAGCAUCCGCAGGUGAUGCGGUUGCCUAGGCUGCAGAUGGAAGUCGCCACCCUGUGCAGGCUGCUUUACCUCAAGGAAGUGGACCACCUGACGGACUUCAUGGGCCUGGAUGUCAAGUGGCACCUCGUGAACGAGUGCUGCAACAAGGAAACCGUGCAGCUCGCCAAGCUGUGCAAGAUCUUCGUGAUGGUGGAGAGGGGCCUGCAGGACUGUACAGGGAAGAGCGUGGACGAGAUUCACAUUUGUAACAACGAAAUUCUGGAGCUAGCGACUGCUGAAUAACAGCUCAAGCUCUCGAGGUUCCAGGGAAGGACAUCUUUACAGCAG